GGGAGAAGCCGAGGGCAGGUUAGCCGCGGCCGGUUCCCGUUCCCUCCAGAACGCGAGGGUCGCCUUGGGUGGGGAGCCCGUGACCGGGCAAGGACCUAUCCCGGUGUGGGGCUUCCUGAUUUCGAAAGAAUCUCGCUGCACCCCCCGCCCAGAGUUCAGACCAAGCGAAAAGUUAUUUGAGAGGCCUCGGGGGCGCGGGGUGAGGAGUCGGUGGCGGAGGCCUUGGUCGGGGCGCCGUGGAUAUCCCCGAGUCACCGCGUCCCUCUCCUGCAGCCCCCGCGUCGCUGGGAGGAGCGAGGGAGUGAGCGGGAAGGGGUCUAGCUGGCCUUUGCUCGGCCCUCCCCAGCACCCGGCUUUGAACCCGCCCUGCACUGCUGCCUGGGCGGGUCCGGGGACUCAGCACUCGACCCAAAGGUGCAGACGCGCGAGCACAACCCAUGGCUGCGCUGGGCCGCGCGAGGCUGAGGUGGGCGCUGCGAGGGGCCGGCCGUGGCCUCUGCCCCCACGGGGCCAGAGCCAAGGCCGCGAUCCCUGCCGCCCUCCCCUCGGACAAGGCCACCGGAGCUCCCGGAGCCGGGCCUGGUGUCCGGCGGCGGCAACGGAGCUUAGAGGAGAUUCCACGUCUAGGGCAGCUGCGCUUCUUCUUUCAGCUGUUCGUUCAAGGCUAUGCCCUGCAACUGCACCAGUUACAGGUGCUUUACAAGGCCAAGUACGGUCCAAUGUGGAUGUCCUACUUAGGGCCUCAGAUGCACGUGAACCUGGCCAGUGCCCCACUCUUGGAGCAAGUGAUGCGGCAAGAAGGCAAGUACCCAGUACGGAACGACAUGGAGCUAUGGAAGGAGCACCGGGACAAGCACGACCUGACCUAUGGGCCAUUCACCACGGAAGGACACCACUGGUACCAGCUGCGCCAGGCUCUGAACCAGCGGUUGCUGAAGCCAGCGGAGGCAGCGCUCUAUACGGAUGCUUUCAAUGAGGUGACUGAUGACUUUAUGACUCGACUGGACCAGCUGCGGGCAGAGAGUGCUUCGGGGAACCAGGUGUCAGACACGGCUCAACUCUUCUACUACUUUGCCUUGGAAGCUAUUUGCUACAUCCUGUUCGAGAAACGCAUUGGCUGCCUGCAGCGAUCCAUCCCCGAGGACACCGUGACCUUCGUCAGAUCCAUUGGGUUAAUGUUCCAGAACUCACUCUAUGCCACCUUCCUCCCCAAGUGGACUCGCCCUGUGCUGCCUUUCUGGAAGCGAUACCUGGAUGGUUGGAAUGCCAUCUUUUCCUUUGGGAAGAAGCUGAUUGAUGAGAAACUUGAGGAUAUGGAGGCCCAACUGCAGGCAGCGGGGCCAGAUGGCAUCCAGGUGUCUGGCUACCUGCACUUCUUACUGGCCAGUGGACAGCUCAGUCCUCGGGAGGCCAUGGGCAGCCUGCCUGAGCUGCUCAUGGCUGGAGUGGACACGACAUCCAACACGCUGACAUGGGCCCUGUACCACCUCUCAAAGGACCCUGAGAUCCAGGAGGCCUUGCACGAGGAAGUGAUGGGUGUAGUGCCAGCUGGGCAAGUGCCCCAGCACAAGGACUUUGCCCACAUGCCGUUGCUCAAAGCUGUGCUUAAGGAGACUCUGCGGUAGGACAGGCUGCUGUUCUGGGGGGCACAGGAUCUCUGUGUGGGGAGGGAAUCAGAGGAGGAAAUCUGAAGUGAAGACAGGUGGGCUGGGGCUAGUGACAAGGAUGAGAUGGGAGAGGUAGGGGAGAAGGAGUGGGGCACUUUGUACCCCCAUGAAUCCAGAGCAGACCCUAGACAUUCUUUCCCCUGCAGCCUCUACCCUGUGGUCCCCACAAACUCCCGGAUCAUAGAAAAGGAAAUUGAAGUUGAUGGCUUCCUCUUCCCCAAGAACGUGAGUGGGGCUAGAGAGCCUGAUUGCCCGGGAGUGCCCUAUACCCCCGAAGAGAUGCAUUCAUGCUGCGCAAUCUUCCUUUAUAGACCCAGUUUGUGUUCUGCCACUAUGUGGUGUCCCGGGACCCCACCACCUUCUCUGAGCCUGAGAGCUUCCAGCCCCACCGCUGGCUGAGAAAUAGCCAGCCUCCUACUCCCAGGAUCCAGCACCCGUUUGGCUCUGUGCCCUUUGGCUAUGGGGUCCGGGCCUGCCUGGGCCGCAGGAUUGCAGAGCUGGAGAUGCAGCUACUCCUGGCAAGGCUGAUCCAGAAGUACAAGGUGGUCCUGGCCCCGGAGACGGGAGAGUUGAAGAGUGUGGCCCGCAUUGUCCUGGUUCCCAAUAAGAAAGUGGGCCUGCAGUUCCUGCAGAGACAGUGCUGACCUGAGUCCCCGCCUUGCUGGGGCUUGUCCUAGAGGCUCCAGCCCUGGCACAGUGGUUCCUGGCUGCCACCAUGUCUCAGAUGAGGAGGGAGAGAAGGAGGCCACCAGACUCGAGAGGUGGGAGAAACUCCCUGCACUUCCCACAGACCCUGAGCUUUUGCCACUGCUAUCAUUUUUGAGCAACUCUCUCUCAGCUAAAAGGCCACCCCUUUAUUGCAUUGCUGUCCUUGGGUAGAAUAUAAAAUAAAGGGACUUUUAUUUCUUA
rnacentral:sRNA from 1 species